rnacentral:rRNA from 1 species
GACGAACCGUGCGAACGUUGUUCGGAUUCACUGGGCUUAAAGGGCGCGUAGGCGGUCGGGUAAGUCUGAUGUGAAAUCUCACAGCUUAACUGUGAAACUGCAUUGGAUACUAUCCGGCUAGAGGAAUGGAGGGGAGACUGGAAUACUUGGUGUAGCAGUGAAAUGCGUAGAUAUCAAGUGGAACACCAGUGGCGAAGGCGAGUCUCUGGACAUUUCCUGACGCUGAGGCACGAAAGCCAGGGGAGCAAACGGG